GUUAAACCAGUAAGUUAAGUUAUAUAUUUUGGUAAAAAGACAGUUAGGCAUAAAUUAGCUUAUUGAUUUCCCUUAUAAAAGUAAAAUUUAAUAUGGGUGUAAUAAAAUAAUAAUAGCUUUAUUGUUGAAUCUGUGAUAUCUUUAAGGGAAACUGGGAUUGGAUACCCCAUUAUUUCUAGAUGUAAAUAAAGAAAUUUACCAGAGUACUACAAAUAAAAUAAUUUAAAACUCAAAGAGCUUGGCGGUAUUUUAGACCACUUAGGGGAACCUGUCUCAUAAUCGACAAUCCACGUUAAACCUUACCUUUUUUAGUAAUCAACUUGUAUACCGUUGUCAUCAGGUAACUUUUAAAGAAAAAAGAAGUUAGCUAAGAAAUUUUAUUGGAUUAAGAUGUCAAAUCAAGGUGCAGUUUAUAAAAAGGAGAAGAUGGGUUACAAUUAUAAAUUAUAAUACGAAUAUGCAUAUUGUAAAUAGCUUGAAGGAGGACUUAAAAGUAAAUUUUUAUAUAAAAAUAACUUGAACAAGGCUCUAAAAUGUGCACACAU
rnacentral:rRNA from 1 species